AUGCUAGCAAUAGUCCUGGUAGAAAGAGUGCGGGGAGCGGCGAACGGCUGAGGAACACAUUGGAACCUGCCCUAGACUCAGGGAUAACCCCGCGAAAGCGGGGCUAAUACCGGAUGGUCUCGCGAGAGUAAAGCUUUUGCGGUCUGGGAGGGGCCUGCGGCCUAUCAGUUAGUUGGUGAGGUAAUAGCUCACCAAGGCUAUGACGGAUACCUGGUCUGAGAGGAUGAUCAGGCACAAUGGAACUGAGACACGGUCCAUACUCC
rnacentral:rRNA from 1 species